AACAGUUUACUCUGGAGGGAUGUUCUGAUGGAAACUAUGGCUAAAGUUUUGAUGACAAUUAUUGUCAAUUAUAAGUUACAUCUUAGUGUAUGUGUGAGUGUAAUUGCAAGAGAAUGGAAAAGAUUCAAAUUUACUCUCUUACUGUUUGUACUGUAUUUUAUUGACAGAACAUGUCAUUGAGUCAUUGAAUCAUGUCGUUAGAGAAAGUCAAGAUUCACCUGGGAGCAAUUUACCAAUUCAGGACAGAUUUAGAAAAAAGUCUAAUGGAAAUAUAGAAAGUAUAGAAAUAUGCUUGACAUAUUAUGAUAAUGUGUUCAACCAUUUUGCAUGUAAAGACUUAUGCUAUGAGCUUGUGCCUAAAUGUUGUGGGGGGUGAGACUAUUCAACAGAGACCCAAUAUAAUACAUUUUGAUCAACAUGACAUAAGCAACUGAUAAUGUAGGAAACAACAGAGAAUUGUACAUAAUCAUUUGCAUGGAUGUACCAAAGCAUUUGCAACUUGUUCAAAGAAAUGAGAAACUGCUUUUUUGAUGUGCACAAGUGACACAAUGAUGUGAGAAUUGAAAAGGUAGUUUUGAGAAUUUCAAUUCUGAUCUGAGAAAUGUACCAAAGCGACUGAGAAAAACUGUAAUCAAGAGUUUUAAAAGCGUUAAAGGAUGGACGCGCGUGUGUGAGGCGGGAAUCGCUGUCACGCGCUGCGGGCGGGAAGCCGAGGGCUGGCGGGGGAACGGAGCCGUCACCGUCCGAUUAACGUGUGACAUUCAGCAGGAUCUGAGAAGAACCACCUUCAACACCUGACAUUCUGUGAGGAAACUUUUUAUUUUCUGAGGAAACCCUUUAUUUUUGUGAGGAGACUUUUAAUUCUCCGAAAUAACUCUGUGAGUGAGCUGAGUGACAGUUGCUUCUGUACGGAUGUGACGUCAGCAUACACCUACACAAGAUCGUUUGUGAGUGUAAAUGGCCAAAACCCCCGAAAAAUCCAGAACCGACCGAGUGUGAAGUGAAACGAUGGUGUAGGCCACAGUCAACAAGAUAGGAUACUGAAGGACUUACAGAGCCGUUCUCCUUAUUUACGACUCUGUUGACUGACCUGCUGUUGAUCACCACACAACCAUUCAGAUGCUCCGUUUGUAAUGCAAGUGGGUUUAAAACUGGCCUUCAGGGACACAAUGCACCCCAUAAUGCACAGGGAAAUGGACCCGUUUCCAUGUCUAUUUUCUUCCCGUCUUCUCUCCAGUCACUCUUCAGAGCAGACCGUGUGUGUGAGGUCUGAAUAAUCGUGAUGUUCAUCAUGAAAGCGACAGAUCUCAGGUGGAGUGAAAGUGAGCCGUCAUUUCAUCCGCUGGCUUCCUUGAACCUGCAAACCGUGAAAUGGCCAAUCAGAAUCUGUCCCUGCUCAUCAGCCGGUCACCGUGACGACGGGCGUCGGUGGUACUUAACAUCUCUGACCCAGAAAUGCCUCCUCAGUUCAACAGAUGGUAAACGUUCCUCAAACAGAAGAUCAUGGCGCUCGCAACGCUGAGGCCAUGGGUUCGAUACCCUGGGAAUGCAACUGAUGAGAUGUAAAGCUGUGUAAGAGCUUUGGAUAAAAGCAUGCAAAUUCUACAGUAUACAUCUUACCAGGAAUCAUGGGAAAUAUUAAAAGCAAUUUAGAUGGGA